UGGGGAAUAUUGCACAAUGGGCGCAAGCCUGAUGCAGCCAUGCCGCGUGUGUGAAGAAGGCCUUCGGGUUGUAAAGCACUUUCAGCGAGGAGGAAGGUGGUGAGCUUAAUACGCUCAUCAAUUGACGUUACUCGCAGAAGAAGCACCGGCUAACUCCGUGCCAGCAGCCGCGGUAAUACGGAGGGUGCAAGCGUUAAUCGGAAUUACUGGGCGUAAAGCGCACGCAGGCGGUUUGUUAAGUCAGAUGUGAAAUCCCCGGGCUCAACCUGGGAACUGCAUUUAAAACUGGCAAGCUAGAGUCUCGUAGAGGGGGGUAGAAUUCCAGGUGUAGCGGUGAAAUGCGUAGAGAUCUGGAGGAAUACCGGUGGCGAAGGCGGCCCCCUGGACGAAGGUGACGCUCAGGUGCGAAAGCGUGGGGCAGCAAACAGGAUUAGAUACCCUGGUAGUCCACGCUGUAAACGAUGUCGAUUUUGGAGGUUGUGCCCUUGAGGCGUGGCUUCCGGAGCUAACGCGUUAAAUCGACCGCCUGGGGAGUACGGCCGCAAGGUU
rnacentral:rRNA from 1 species